rnacentral:rRNA from 1 species
GAUGAACGCUGGCGGCGUGCCUAAUACAUGCAAGUCGAGCGAACAGACGAGGAGCUUGCUCCUCUGACGUUAGCGGCGGACGGGCGAGUAACACGUGGAUAACCUACCUAUAAGACUGGGAUAACUUCGGGAAACCGGAGCUAAUACCGGAUAAUAUAUUGAACCGCAUGGUUCAAUAGUGAAAGACGGUUUUGCUGUCACUUAUAGAUGGAUCCGCGCCGCAUUAGCUAGUUGGUAAGGUAACGGCUUACCAAGGCAACGAUGCGUAGCCGACCUGAGAGGUUGAUCGACCACACUGGAACUGAGACACGGUCCAGACUCCUACGGGAGGCAGCAGUAGGGAAUCUUCCGCAAUGGGCGAAAGCUUGACGGAGCAACGCCGCGUGAGUGAUGAAGGUCUUCGGAUCGUAAAACUCUGUUAUUAGGGAAGAACAAAUGUGUAAGUAACUAUGCACGUCUUGACGGUACCUAAUCAGAAAGCCACGGCUAACUACGUG